rnacentral:lncRNA from 1 species
UUCGAUUCCGCUGGACUCUCACUACUUUUCUGAUGCAUAUACAAGCCCAAUAUACGUCUUUUUUUUCCGCUAAAGCGCCUGCCAAGUUCAGCUAAUAUUUAGUUAAAGGGGCCGUAAUAAAGCAGCAGCAGAAGCAGAAUUUGGGCUAAAGCCCUAAACAUAUACCUGCAGAUUACAACAGUUUCAUCCCCAAAAUGAUCGAAUAUAGGCUGAAGUCUAAUUGUCUUCUUAUUAUUAUUGUGAUCACUAACAAUAUUUUUGAGAUUUUAAUAUUUAAUUGUUUUUUAACUUGAAAUAAUAUGAAUAUAUAAGUUUUGACACUAUGUUUCUGUAAGUAUGUUCCGAUUAGUCGGACAAUGGCAACAAUGAAUUACCUGAAGAUGAAUCAGAUAAUCAUAUUCAUUUGAAAGAAACAAGGUACGUACAUAGUAGUACUAUUUCAUAAUCUGAUAAUAACUACUGGGAAUACAAUACAACGUAAUAGUUGUUCAAGAUAAAUCUAGGUAGUGAGGGAUAUUGGCGGGAAUUCACUGGUCACUGCUUAUAAAGUUUCUAAUUGUGAAAUCUGAUGCAAUAUUAGGAUCCGUAGUGACAGAUGCCCAUGUCACACGUCCUUUCGUGACAACACCCGGCCCUCUAUUCUUAUACUCCAGAUAAUAUGGCUGGCGACUAACAACAGAUUUAUUUGCUAACCCAAUCCACUCAACCCAUCCUUUAGGAUCUAUCAAGUUAUCGAUAUAACUUUCCAUUAUCACAGUCCUAGAAAAUAUACCCCAUGGCCGACCUAAAAAUGUCGUGACGUUGUUCAAUUUCUCCAAAUCGCGGGUAGCCUUUAUAGUGCAGUUUUGAAGCACUAUUCCAGUUGGUAAGGACUCAAGCUCUCUAUGUUGCGCUGUAAUUGUGUUAUAUUGCCUCGCCAUUGGAGUGCGAGCUUCAAUCAAGCAAUUUUGGAACACGGCUGUUGCGUCACCACAUAUAAAAUCUAUGGUGCCAUAGAUUUCACUAUCGCGGUAGAACUGACGUUGCCUUUUCACAUACAAGGUGUCUUGAUACCCGUCGAAGCAACAUUUAUAAAAGGACAUCAGAUCUGCGUCAACUCAUAAUGCCACAGCCUGAUGUUUUAUGGGUCCAACAUUAUUCCUAAAAGUUAUGUCUUGGGCUAUAAAGUCAUUGCCAGCGACCCCUGCAAAUUAAAUAAGAAGAAACAAUUAUAAUUCAUCAAAAUUAAUAAAACUUAUGUAUAUAUAGAGAGAGGGGCUUACGAUGGUUGCGGUGUCACAGGUUUGGUUUCCAUCGACAAAACUUCUGUUACCCGUUAUUAUCGUAGUAUCCAUCCCUUCUCCAAUUAGGAAUAUAUUAGUCUUCUUUUUAUCAACUGUAAUAUAUUCCUGAUACGUGCCUUUCUUAAUUUUUAUGAAGAAUGGCUUGACACUGUGGUCAGGGCCCGACAAUAUUGCUCGAGCAAUUGUGUUGAAAUUUUCGGUUCCAUCUUUAGAAACAACCGCGUUAUAAGGUGUUUCUGUUAUCAGUUGACUUUGAACACAUACAACUAUAGUUGCAGAGAUAAACAACGUCAUUAUAUUCCCUGCAUUAAAAAAAAAAAAAAAGUUGAUGAGUUUACGGACAAGAAUUACAGCUACAGUCUAGAGAUAUGGAAGAAGGAUACCGCAAAAAUCAUCCAUAGCCAUUGCAAAGAUGAUGAACGAAAAAGAAGUGAAAUUUUUUGAGUCACUGAAGGUGACUAGUAUGCAACAAUUCUUCUUGGUAGUGGAAGAGUUAUACUCUUUCUUUUUCUUAAUAUUGUAGUAUUGUUCAAGCUUAACAAAAUCCCCCUCCUUUAUAUUGUAGUAAAGCUAUACUUUUUCUUGCAUGUUUUUAUUGUAAAAUGUCAUUUUUAAAGGCUCUUUUUGGACAAUUAAAUGUCAUCUUCAUUGAAUUGAAUUUUUCUACCAUUUGUACAAUUACUUACUUAGGUAAUAUAUAAUUGUAGUAACAUUUUAAUCCUUAGCUUAGUUAUGGUAAUGUUUUCUUCUUAUUAUCUUUUCUUAUUUGGAGGGAACCAACUUGUGACUUUUAUGAAAAUUACAUUUUGUGAAGAUACAAUCUUGUACUUUCUUCAUUUCUUUUUAAAUGAUAUUUUACCUUUUGUAAUAUUUUUCGAAAUUAGUGACUUUUUUUUUAAGAUAUCAAGAAGAUAUUAUUUUUUGUUUUUUUUCUUCAAAGUUAUUUUUUACCUACAGAGCGCAAGAAUUUUUUUAAGAAACUAGACGGAGAAGGGAAAAUGAGAAGGAAUUACAUGUUAUAAAUGACAUCAUGAAAGCGUAAAUUAGAGCAUUAGUCUUUUCUUUUGUAUUCACCUUCGGUUUAUCCUCUUGUAAUCGUUUCGUAUAUAAAUUUUUAUAUUUUGAAUUACUUAAUAAAAAAUUUUGUCUCUGUCACUGACGAGGACUGCUUGAUGCGCCAAAAAGUCAUAUUAACCUUUAGGUAGCUUAUUACGGAUAAAAAAGUCAAAGAUUUUUUUUAGUACAAUUCCAUAAUCUUUCUCCUUUCUAAGCCAAGUUGCUAAGAUGUUAAGCACCGUACGAUCUUAAAGUUGUAGGUUCGAAUCAUCAAAGAAUCAAAAAGAUAAUAGUGUGUUAAUACUUGUGUCCAUUAUACUUGUAGUAACGUGGCUUUCAUUGCAUCCUAUAUUUUUAAUUGAACUCGUUGCUUUUUUAACCCCUCAUGUCAAUACGAUUUGUUAAUUUACUCCAUAACUUUUCAUCUUUUUUAUAGUAUCACUUUUAAUAUUAAUAGUUAAAAAAAAAACUAUUUACUUGCACUUUAAUUUCAAAUUUUGCACCCAUUCGAGAAUUGAGUUGUUGGAUAACUCAAAAAAUAGAUUAGUUGAAGAGCAAAUAUCCAAACAAAAUACAAGUUGGAGUGAGUCAUUAUACGUUACCUGAUGUGAGGUCAAAAUACAUAUUUUUAAUCAUUAUUUACCUCACAUUUAGUAUUUAUAUCUGUCUUUUUUGAGCCUGAAUUUUAUGAAUUGUGCUAAAAAGUAUAUUUUAUUUGUAGAAUUAAAUUAGUGGAAAAAUAAAGAAGUUUGGAUCUAAAAUAAUUAAAAAUAGAAGAUUAAAGAAGGAAAUCAAACCGACAGCCUAAUGGAUUAAAGUGAAUAUUUUAUUAAUAUUUAUAUAUGCAGAAAUUGGCGAGAAAGUAAAGAGCUGCACCUCAUAGGAGUUGUGCCACGUGGCAGUAUCUUAAGAAUUCCCAAUUUGCGGCGGUGGACGAAGCACUGUUUACGCAGGAAUCCAACUCCGUUAAGAUUGGAGAAAAAAAAAACUCCGUUCAGGUUUUGGGUUCUCAAUUUGUUUUGGAUUCAAUUAUUUUAUUCAGGGUUUUUUCAUAUCUAUAAAUAGUCCAUAAGAAUAAUUAUUGAUGGAGGAGGAUGAAUGUAGAAAAUGACUUUUGAUUUAGGAUUUUAUCUUUUCUUUCUCUUUUAUUUAUUUUACAUCUUUUCUUUGAAUGAUUCGUUGUAAUUGCUCUAUGUCUAUGUGGAGUUAAACUUCUCGUUCUUGGAUUAUAUUUACUUACAAUAUGAUUGUUCAGUGAUUUUGAUUCGGCAUGAUUUGUUUAUCAUAUUAAUUGUUCUUAUAUUCUUGUGAUUACUAUUUUGAUGCUUGAUCACCAUUGAAAUAAACAUAUUGUCCGAAUUGAACUCGGGAGAGGAAUACGAGGAUAGAACAUGGAAUAUAAGGAGCAUGAUUUUCUCUUAAUAAUUAGGGUUAAUUUGUAUCUAUGAUAGGGAUAUACCUAGAAACCAUGUUUGGUCACUUUACAGGAAGAAAUCGUAAUGCUCGGUACUUGGUCCAACCUAUCCCCGCUCAACGAUGUAGUUAGGGUGUUAUUUAUCGUAGGCGAUUAGAGGUCGGGAGACCAUGAUCAUACAUUUAACCCUGUGAUUCAAUAACUAGAUAAUCAAAUAAGCUGCUUAAAUUGAUGUUAAACAUGAUUGUUAGUUAAAUUAUAAUCCUAGAUCGAUUCAUUAAUUGAUUGUGUAAGCAUCUAUCUUUUUUUAGUUAAUUGGUUUUUAGUUAGUUUAUCUUUAUUUUUAGUUUAGCUAAUAAUGUGCGACCGCGUAUACUUGCGUGUGCAAUCGGGAGCAACAAAUUUUUGGCGCCGCUGCUGGGGACUUAGAAAUUAACUAUUCUUCUAGGUUAUACUUUUUCUUUUUAUUUGUUUAUUUAUUUUGAUACAUAUUUUUUUUCUCUACUAAUUAAUACUUUUUGUGGGAUGAACGGGAAUGAAGAUUAUUCACAAGCGGUAAGACCUUGUCCUUAUUGCAAAGGAGCUCACUUUUGGCAACAAUGUAAUUAUAUUCCCGAGGAGAAUUGUGUUCACCAUCUCUAUCAUGUGAAUUUUGUAGGGGGUUGUGGGUCGAUUGCACCGUGUGUUGCUACCCUACUCCAAAACCCUCUCAUGAUGAUGCUAAUAAUCUUUGUUCCUUUGAUAGUAUGAAAUCUUGCAGGAAAUUAAUAGAGGAAUCUGAAGAGCAUCGUAGGAUAAUCAUAUAUGUGAUGUCACACCUUAUAGAUAGAAAAAUGAAGCACUUUCAAGAUGUUAAUAUGUUUUUCUUGCAUACUCAGAACUUAAGCAAUGAAUUGAAUGCAAAGGUUGCUGCGUUUGACGCUCAACAAUUCAAUUAUGAGUUUUGUAAUACUGAAAAGGCACUCAGAAGUCAAAUUGAGGAUCUAAAACGGAAGGAAAUGCAAUGUAAUCAGACUUUUCUUGAAGAUGCCACAUUUGGGAAAAAGUAUAAUACUGAGCAUGUUGCAAUUGGUGUAAGUUUGGAAGAGGGACAUAUCACUUUUCAACAUUAUGUUUAGAUGUUGAUGUAUCAUUCGAGUCAUCUGAACUAAUGGAGAACUGUAUAGAUGAGGAACAAGUCCCCUACAUCUUAAAGUUUUAUAGUCCACGUAGACAAACAAAUAUUCCUCACAUAAGGGCCAAGAAGUGCAAGAUGCGACAUAUAUUACUUGGUUCUUUUAUCUUUAUACCACCACCCCUCGAGAGGAGCAGAAAAAUAGAUGUAAAGUUAGGGGUGCAAUUCAUAAGUUCAAAGUGGAAAGAAAAGUGGUGAACUUACUUGUGUCGUGCCGUGAUGUUAAAUUAGGCGCUUAUUGGGAGGCAACCCAAUUUAUAGUGCAACUUUUUUUUUUUAAGUGCCAUUUUUUUGUGAUGUUUUUACAGGUUUUGGAGAAGUCUGAGUAUCCAAAAUUUGGAGUUAAGGAACACGUUUGAGCUCAAGUGUGGGGUGACGACCCUUGAUGAAAAUUAAGAUAACAUGCUACUAGCUAGGCCUAGAGGCCCCAGAGAGUUUUCCUAACCUUUGUUUUAAAAUUUUAAUUGAUGUUUUGGGGACAUAGCAUCUUUUCAAGUGUGGGGUGUGAAUUCUUUCGCAUAUUUUGGUUAGGGUGAAGUGUGCGUUAGAUUUGUUUAAUAUAGUUUUUAAAAAAAUGAAAAAAUAAAAUAAAAUUCCGGACAGUGCAGUCCGUAUCCAGUUCGCGUCGCAGACCUGGUACAAAAAAAAAGUUCUUUUUCAUGAGUAGGAACACACUUAACCCAACCCAAAAGAAAUAUUCCUUCUUUCACUCAUUAACUUAUGUUGUUGCACUGGGGACUGUGGGGGUGAAAGAAUGAAUUUCUAGUUUUUACUGUUUUAUUGAGUCUUUUUUUUUAGGAUGAGUUCCUUGACUUUUGUUUUCAGUUCUUUUCCUGAGGAUAGUCCCUUUGAACCGGGUGUCUUUUAUUUUUUGUGCAUACAUGUGAAUUUUAUUUCUGAGUGUUAGUUGUUCUUUGAUGCUAAGUCCUUAAUUUAUAUUCAAUUUUUUGAAUUGAGUGUGUGAACUAUUUCUUUUUGUGAGGGCACUUGUUUCAUGAUGGAGAUUUUAUUAGCUUUCUUUGAUGAGAGUAAGUGAGCAAACUUAAAUUUGAUGAGUUCAGAGUCCUUCCUUGAGGUUAGGAGGUUAGAGGUUUGUUGUUUAUUUGUAAAUCUUGCAUAAUGAUUGAGAAGUAUACUUGAUGUUUCGAAAUUUGUAUAUGACCUAAGUGUUUGUAGCAAUGAUUUUUUGAGAUGAGCUUUAAAGUUUGCUCGAGGAUGAACAAAAGUUUAAGUGUGGGGUGUUGAUGUGAGGCCAAAAUACAUAUUUUUAAUCAUUAUUUGCCUCACAUUUAGUAUUUAUGUCUGUCCUUUUUGAGCCUGGAUUUUAUGAAUUAUGCUAAAAAAUAUAUUUUAUUUGUAGGAUUAAAUUGAUGGAAAAAUAAAGAAGUUAAAUAAUUAAAAAUAGAAGAUUGAAGAAGGAAAUCAAGCAGACACCUUAAUGGAUUAAAGUGAAUAUUUUAUUAAUAUUUAUAUAUGCAGAAGUUGGCGAGAACUGCACCACAUAGGAGUUGUGCCACGUGGCAGCAUCUCAAGAAUUCCCAAUUUGCGGCGGUGUACGAAGCACUGUUUACGCAGGAAUUCAACUCCGUGAAGAUUUUGGGUUCCCAAUUUGUUUUGGACUUAAUUAUUUUAUUCAGGUUAUUUUUAUAUCUAUAAAUAGUCCAUACGAAUAAUUAUUGAGGGAGAUGGAUGAAUGUAGAAAAUAACUUUUGAUAUAGGAUUUUUAUCUUUUCUUUCUCUUUUAUUUAUUUUACAUCUUUUNNNNNNNNNNNNNNNNNNNNNNNNNNNNNNNNNNNNNNNNNNNNNNNNNNNNNNNNNNNNNNNNNNNNNNNNNNNNNNNNNNNNNNNNNNNNNNNNNNNNNNNNNNNNNNNNNNNNNNNNNNNNNNNNNNNNNNNNNNNNNNNNNNNNNNNNNNNNNNNNNNNNNNNNNNNNNNNNNNNNNNNNNNNNNNNNNNNNNNNNNNNNNNNNNNNNNNNNNNNNNNNNNNNNNNNNNNNNNNNNNNNNNNNNNNNNNNNNNNNNNNNNNNNNNNNNNNNNNNNNNNNNNNNNNNNNNNNNNNNNNNNNNNNNNNNNNNNNNNNNNNNNNNNNNNNNNNNNNNNNNNNNNNNNNNNNNNNNNNNNNNNNNNNNNNNNNNNNNNNNNNNNNNNNNNNNNNNNNNNNNNNNNNNNNNNNGUCUAUCCCUGCUCAACGAUGUAGUUAGACUGUCAAUUGUGGUAGACGGUUAGAGGUCGGGAGAUCAUGACUAUAUUAUCAACCCCGUGAAUCAAUACCUAGAUAAUCAAAUAAGUUGAUGAAAUUGAUGCUAAACAUGAUUGUUAGUUAAAUUAUAAUCCUAGAUCGAUUCAUUCAUUGAUUGUGUAGACAUAUAUCUUUUCUUAGUUAAUUACUUUUUAGUUAUUUUAUCUUUAUUUUUAGUUUAGUUAAUAUAUUCAUCUUUUGAAAUCCUCUCCUUAAAUAAAUAAUUAAAAUUAAUAUAAUUUAGUAAGAAUAAUUAUUUGACAAGUCCUUUGGGUUCGAUAAUUCUGUUCUUUUAAGAGCCACUGUAUUACUUGUGCGAACUCGUAUAUUUGUGUGUGCAAUCGGGAGCAACAUUACCCUAUCCAAAACGUAGUGUUCUAGCUAAAGAAUAAGAAUACAUAUAUAUUAGUAAAUGUGUAUCAUGAACACUUCAAUUUAUUUUACCUAUAUAUAGGUGAACUAUUAUCAUCAUACUUUAAAGUAGUAUUUUAGCUAAAGAAUAAGAAUACAUAUAUAUUAGUAAAUGUGUAUCAUGAACACUUCAAUUUAUUUUACCUAUAUAUAGGUGAACUAUUAUCAUCAUACUUUAAAGUAGUAUUUUAGCUAAAGAAUAAGAAUACAUAUAUAUUAGUAAAUGUGUAUCAUGAACACUUCAAUUUAUUUUACCUAUAUAUAGGUGAAUUAUUAUCAUCAUACUUUAAAAAUGGUAUGUUAUAUUAUUGAUAGUCACAAUCAUGUGACACAACUUUGAUAUAAAAAUUGGUGAAAAAGUUCAUGAUUUCCAAGUGAAAAUGACAAGACACAGUUAAGACCUGAGUGAACGAUAAUUUGAUGACGUUCAAGACAUGAAUAUCCAUUAUUCAUUUGGGGAAAAAAACUCUUAUAAGUAGUGUUUUCGUUAAAAGUUAAGUGUAUAAUUUAAAUUUAAACAGACAUAUAGAUAUACUACAUUAAUUUUGCAUAAAAUUUAAACUUAAGGUAAUAAUAUAUACUUUACAUUUAUCUACAAUUCUAUGUAUAAAACAUUGGUGCUAUAGUUAUUCCCCUAUUCUAUUACUAGUUCAUUCCUACGAAGCUUGUUUCCCAUUUAUCAACAUUUUCUCUUAUCUAUCUAAUAAUAAUAGGUAAACUUAUAAUAGUAAGUGGAUAACAUUUUACUAUAUUAUAUAGUUUCAACUUUCAAUUUUUAACUUUUAUAGUCACAUUUCAUAGGGAAAUUCUAAUUAAUUAGUAUAACGUUGCUAAGGAUUUGAAAGCUCAAAUUGAACUUUGGUCAUCGAUAGCAGGCAAGAUUUAAUUAAUUUGUUACUUGUUGCUUUCAAUUACCUCAAUUGACCCUAUUGCUAGUGAAGUGUCUAAAUAACACUCAAUCCCAAAUACUAAAUAAAAUACUAAUAACAUUGAUAUACAUAAAAUUACCUAAUAUGCAUUUGUUUCUAGCCAAGAAGAAAACUAUUAUUGGCCACAUGAAAGUAAAAUGUCAAAAUUGGCUAAAGAAAAUUAUUGGUCACAUGAAAAUUAAAAUAUCAAAAUUACGGGGGGGAAAAGAAGAUAAAAUGGUCUCUUUUCUUCUGUACUACUUGGUUUAAAUAAUUCUUCAGGUAUCAUCUGAGCAAUUUUGAUCAUUAAUGUGUUCAUUUAGAUAAUAUGAAGGUAAGAAGAUUGUUUCUAAUAGACCUUGACUCAAGUUGAGAAUAACAAAAUUAUUUGUAAAAAAAAAAAAAAAAAGUCGAAGGCCAUAUAGAAUAAAAUGGAGAAAAUUGUAGUAGCAAUAAUCAAUAAUAUGAUAAUCAAAGCAAAUUAGACAAUAAUAAUAAUAAAAUCAAAGAUAACAGGAAAAUAAUAGUAAAUAUAUAUCCUCCAUAUCAUAUCCUCCUCCCACCCCCCCUUUUAAUUGUCUUUUUUCUAGCUUAGCUACUAAUAGUACUACUAAUUUAGCAUGGCUAGGACCUCCACCAGCUACAUCAACUUCGUCAUACAAAUAUAGAGGUUGUGUUUAAAUAUUUUCUUUAAUUCUAGUAAAAUACAAGCCAUAAAAUUAUCUAAAGUGUUAUUUACUAAAACAAUAUAAAAUAUGAGAUAAGGGUGAUGGUCCUUAAUUGUCGAAACAUUAUCAUUGAGAUGAUGAUCUUUAGGUGUAUUAUUCAUAGUAUACUAAAUCAUAAAAUUGACGAUUUUAUUUCUUAAUUUCUGACAUUGUACAUAAUAUUCUUGAGAAAUAGUUAGUGUAGUGAUUUAAUUAUAGUUAUUCCAACUUUAAAUAGAUCGAUGAUCACAUAAUUAUGACAUUAUACACAGUAGCGGAUCCAGGAUUUUUGUUUAGGGAGUUCGAAAAAUAAAAGUAUAAACACAUAAAUAAGUCAAUAAAACAAAAUUUCAAGGAAGUAGUAGUAUAGAGUUUUAGUGGCGGACCCUAGAUUUUUUUGGGUUUAAAACCAGGGGUUUUAUAAAAUAAAAAACUAAAAAAAAACGUGAAAAAUGGAACUGAAACUUAGAAGAAAAAAGAGCUGAAACUAAGAAAGGAAAAAAAUAAAGCACUACCAGAGAGAUUUGAACCCUUGACAUGAAGCUUAAUUUCAAGGGGACCUACCGCUGGGCUAUCAAUUUCUCUUUGUCAUUGAGAGGGUUCAAAAAAAAAUAUAUAUAUAUAUAAACAUAAAUAAAGAAAAUUUACCUUAUAUAUGCAGCGUAAUUUUUUGCCGAGGGAGUUCGGGUGAACCGCCUGGAACCCAUGUGGGUUAGCCCCUGAUUAUACAUCACCGAACGAUCGAAAAAUGAUUUUUCAGUAGUAGUGAUUUUUGUGUUAUUAGGGUGAAAGUUUUGCAAUUUUUCUGUUAGAAAACUUAAUUGUGUUACUUUAGUGAAUAGAUUGUACUAGUUGAAAUGAUUUGAUCUAUGAUCGUAUUGAAAUUAAAGACAAAAUAUAUCUAAUUAAUAAUAUUGAAAAUUAAUUAUAAAAAGAAUGUCAUUUUUACUUCUCCUUCCUUAGAAAGCCAAAUGUCAUUUUCAUCUUCUUAGUUUUUGUAGCAUUUGGACCAUUACUUAGAGAGCUCGUGAGUUAUAUGAAUUUACACAUUGAAUUUAUAUCAAGUCUCGAAUCAUUUAAAAAUAAAUUUUGAGAGAAUUUGAAAAUCCUUUACAAUCUCGCUAUCCUAGCUUUAAAGUCAACACCGAAGGAGUUGAAUGAAAUGAGCUGAAGAAAUUGAAUGAAAUAGCUUUCAAAAACACAUAGUAAUUUCACUCGAAUUUAGAUACAUAGAGAAGAUGUUGAAUGCAAUAAAAAAGUCAUUUCUUUACUAAUUAUUUGUCUUUUUUUUAUUUCUUUUGCCUCCAUAUUCAUCAUUCAUGUUGAUUAUAAUAUUCUUAUUUUCUUCUCAUUAUUAUUUAACAUGUGAUACUAUUGUUCGAGUCCGUCGAACUAUCUCUAUUUUUCUGAUGGAAAUCCAUCGAGUUGAAGCCUAAAAUAUGUCUUUUCUUCUAUAAACCACUGUCAAGUUUAUAAAAGGGGAAGCUAAUAUUUAGUCAAAGGGAUCUUAACAAAGUAGCAAUAUAAGCAAAUGAUUGAAUUAUGAGUCAAAAUAAGCUAAAACGACAUAAGUUAGAAAUUGUAACUUAUGAUUUAUUUAUUAUAAUUGAAUAUGAGUAGAAGUCCAAAUAGAUUCUCAGCCAUAAAAUAAUAUUUGAAUAUGAGUUGAAGUCCAAUUGUCUUAUUUAACUGUUUGUGUACAUGUUUUCUUAUUAUUAUUGUGGUCAUUAACAAUUAUUUUAAUUAACUAAGAUGAAUCCUUCGGCGAUUUUGAAUAAUUUUCUUCAAUAUUGUGUUAUCCAUCGGCUCACCCUUGUUGGCAAAUUCUUAAGAAGUUGGCCUCAAAUUAAAAAAAAUAGAUCUAAAUUUGAGGAAAAAAUUUCAGUGUUCAAAGUAAGUGUUAAUCAACUUAGGAAAAUCAUAUUAGUCUGUGGUACAUACUUCUAUUGAAGUUGGUUAUGUAACCCUAUUAGAAAUAAAUGUUUUUUCACUGCGAAUCGAUGGGAUAUUUGUGCUAUAGAACAUGAUUUUUAGAUUCAUUUUUCACCAAACAAUUCACUGGAAAAAUGCAUAUUGGAAAGCAGAUAUAGUGAAAAGUUUCCUAAUUUUUCCGUAUGAAACAUUGUUGAACACCCAAUUUUGACUCCAUAGUUUAAUUAAUUUUAAGCCUUUUCAAUUUGAAACAAUUUAAAAUAAUUAUAUUUGACUUAAACAUCCAUCUUUUCUUAAAAAUCAACUAAUUUUACAAAUUGAUUGAUGUAAUUGGUACUUUUAUUUAAAAGUAACUAGUCUAUAACAAAGUAAUCAUUUUAUAUUGUUAAAUAAGAAGCUUAGAAAUUAAUUAUAAGCAUAAUUUAUUGGGAAAACUACAUAAUUGGACAUACUUCACUAUCAUUUAUACUAUUAUUAUCUAUAUAUUUAAAAUAUUAUGUAUCUUACCACUAAUUAAGAGUUUCCUACCGUAUUUUGCUCUUAGAUACAUGUAAUUUUGCUACCAUGUACACAAAAAUAGGCGAAGAGGCGAGCGAGAUUCGUAUGUAUCACACAUAUAUGCGAAUCACACUAAAUACAUGUAUUUGUAUGUAUAUGGAGUGAAUUCGCAUGUAUCUGGGAUCCCAGAUACAUGGGAGAGUGCUAAUACUUAUCUCUUGGUUUAAUUGUAGGAACUGAAAAUUUAUCCACUAACAUGUGGUUAUCCAUCAAUUUCACUCAAAAUGUUUGACUAACUUGUAAAAAUUGAUUUAAAUAAAGGCAUUUGAUUGGUUUGAGGAAAACUAACUUAAAACAGUUGAUUUAAAGAAGGGAUAAGGGUCUGAAAAAUACCCAACUUUGGUCGAAGUUACUGUUGCGAUACUAAACUUUCAUGAGGACCUAUUACCUUCCUAGACUAUUUAAUACCGUAUUUUAAACAUAUAUAUUUGCCCAAGUGGACAUAAAAAAUAAUGCAAAAUCAUGAAUAGUAAUGUGUCCACGUGGUCACAUAUAUACCUUUAAAAUACACUAUUAAAUAGUUUAGGGGGUAAAAAAUACGGUAUUAAAUAGUCUAGGAAGGUAAUAGGUCCUCAUGAAAGUUUAGUAUCGCAACAGCAAAUCCGACCAAAGUUGAUAGUCUAGGGAGGUAAUAGAUCCUUAUGAAAGUUUAGUAUCGCAACAGCAAAUCCAACCAAAGUUGGGGUAUUUUUCAAACCCUUACCCCUUUAAAGAAUGAGUUAAACUUAACCAAAAUAGUUGAUUAAGUGAUGAAAAAUAGACGAGUGUUGAUAAACGAAUUUAUUAGUGAAGUAAAUCAACACAAAAGAAAGUAGUUCUUUCCUUUCGGGAAUUCGACUAAGUUAAUAAGAAUCUAACAAUAACAAAUAGGGAAAAUUACGCGGUUAAGCAAACUUAUACUACUUAAUUAGUCAUCAUAGAUAUAGUUUGCUACAAUUACCACUCGCAACUAACAUCAACUAUUAAUUACGUGGGCUGACUUCGAGUUUGUAUAAUUAGUCACGUUUGUAUAAUUCGCCACAUUUGUAUAAUUUACAACUAACAAUUCUUCGUUUGAUUUGUAUUUGCAUACGAUGGUUUGCAUUUGUAUAUGAUGAUGAUUUUCUUUGGUUUUUCAAUUUUAUCACCAUAUACAUUCAAUCUUUUUUUGUAUAACUUUUUAAAGUUCGUAUAAACAUGUAAUUUGCAGAUUUUUGUAUAAUAUAAUUUAUAUAAUUAUUUUGUAUAACUGUUUAAAGUUCAUUUGUUUAUGUUUGUAUCAAUUCGUUAUUUUGAGUUUUAUCAUAUUUGUAUAAUUUUAGACUUUGAAUUACUCAAUUAUACAAAAGCACGCAAAUUAUACAAACGUACUCGUAAAUUACACAAAUGAGAUCUGAAUUAGACAAAUUAUUUCCCUCUCUCGCUUGCCUCUCUCCUCCCUUUUCCAAUCUUGCUCGCCAGAUAUACAAAAACAUUUGUGUACCAGUUACAUAUAUACAAUUAUCUAACGAUAUACAUAUACAAUUCACCUCUCCCCCACUCUCUGCCGUCUCUCGCUCGUCUCUCUCCUCCCUCUCCCAAUCCCGCUUGCCACUCUCCUCCCAAUAACAUGUAGCUACGAAUCGUAAUUAGCAAACUAUAGCUAUGAAGCAUAAUUAAACUAUUUUUUGAGUAUCUAUAUGCGAAAGUUCCCCCAGCAAAUAUUGCAACAACUAGAUUACCUGCUGCAACUUUUUGGGUUUCCGGCCCACUGCCUGUCCAUAUUAUUUGUGGACCAUUAGGUCCAAAACAUUAAAUUUGAAUGGCUGCAGCUGUUAAAUAAUCAUGGGCUUUUAGCCCAUUUCUUGCUUAGUCCUUUGGGCUUAUUGUGGCAAUGUAUAUCAUCAGUCAUCACGUAUAUCACUUUUUCACACCUGUAUAUACUAGCUUCCUUAAAUCUGUAUAUUUGCUUCCCUUACACCUGUUCCUCAAAAAAUAGGCUGACUCGGACGAGGUUGAGCUUAGCCCAACAGAAAUGCAAAUGGUCUUCAAAUUGGGUCCAGUUCCCUUGGUGUUUCUUCAUUGAUAAUUAGUGAAUACGAGACGAAUGAAAGAUUCAAUAUUUCACUGAGAAUUUUUAAUUGUAAGAAAAUGAAAUAAUUAGCUAAAUCAGAUAUUUAUAUUAAUCAUUUAAAGAAACAAGACAGAUACAUAUUACUAGCUAAUUUUGUAAUUUGAAAACUAGUAAGAGCACAAUUCUUAAUGUUGUUUAAAGAAAAAUUUAAAUAACGUGGAAUGUUUGCGGAAAUCCACUUAUCACCAUUUAUGAGACGCCUAGCAGUAAAAUUCAAUGCAGAUGUCCAUGUCACGCGUAUUUUUGUACUCGAGACAAUAUGGCUGGCGAGGAGAAACAAAUUUAUUUGCAGACUCAAUCCAUUCAAUCCGUCUAUCAAUUUAUCGAUAUAACUUUUCAUUAUCACAGUCCGAGAGAACUUGCCCCAUGGUCGACCAAAAUAAGUGUUGACACUGCUCAAAUCUUGGGCAGCCUUUAUAGUGAAAUUUUGAAGCACUAUUCCACAUGUAGAGUCUUCAUCUUCUCUGUGUUGCGCGGUGAUUGUGUUAUAUUAUGUGUCUAACGGAACACGUGCUUCAAUCAAGCAGUUUUGGAACACAGUUGUUGCAUCACCAUAUAUAAAAUCUACCGUGCCAUAUAUCUCGCAAUCUCGACAAAAUUGCCGGUAUAUUUUUGUAUAAAGAGUGUCUUGAUGCCCUUCAUAAUUAGGAUUUUAAAUUUAUUUUACCAUUAGUUUAUUAUUUUGUUUCCUCACUUGACAAAAUUACCAUGUUUGUUUUAUCCAUAUGCAUUAUGCCACAUACAUCUCAACUUUGAGGGACAAAAAGGCUUCUCUGGUAGACCUUGGAGGUCACUUCCCAGUCUGUUCCUCCCUGUCUUCAUUUCCAAGUUGUUCCUCGACUCUUUUCUUUGUGUUUAUGUUUGAAUACAUUUAUUUGAAGAUUAUUUUGUUAGUUCUAUAUGAUCUCACAUUGUUUCGGCAACAAUAGUAGUUCUCCUUGUGGUUUCUUUUGUAGUAGUGUUGAUUUAUUUGUUGCUACAUUUUGUGUUUAGGGGACCCUUUUAACUCCGCCUGUUAAAUCAGCCGGUCCUAAGCCCGAACUAAGAGGAGGGGAAGGUGUUCAAGUUUGCAAUUAAUUAUCUGUUUUUUUUUAAUUAGUAGUAAUGUUUCUAGAGUUGUCUAUGAGCAAUUAUGGCAUCUCUAAUUAUAGUUAUCACUUAUUAGUAAUGUACAUUGGAUGAAAUGUAAAGAGAUGUGUCAGGGGCUUGCCAUGCAAUUGGUAAUUAGAAAUUGUGGAAACUUAGUUUCUUGCUUCAGUGAGAAACUAAAUGCAUUGAAGUCUUGCAACUGUUGCAAUUUAUAUGUCACUCCCCGAGCCUAUACCCUGAACGUGGCUGGCACUCGAGAACCAUUGUUGGCCCCAAACGAACCCUUGGCCUGGCUUACUUACUCAGCGGAAGACUUAAACACAAGAAAUAGUCAAAAAAGGAACUUGUGAAAUAACUUAAAAUGUCUUUAAAUAACCAUUCAAACUUAGCCAAUAUGGCAACCUCAAGUCUCAAAAACAUAAGCCAAUAAUAAAGUAGUGACAAAUGAAUUUAACUAACUGACUGGCUGUCUAUGAAGCCUCUAAACAACUGAGAUUGAUGUCGGGACAGGCCCACAACAUCCUAAUGAUCUAAUAAUAAAAUUGAAAGCAAUAAAAGAGAUCCUCCGAAAGCAAGGAGGCUCACCACAAGACUCUGAGUGCUCAAACUGGAUCAACGAGGCGCUAAAUGCUGAUCCUGGUUACAUACGUCUGCAUCAUAAUAAGAUGCAGGCCAACUGACAUCAAUACAUUGAAUGUACGAGUAUGCGAGUUGGAAUGCUAAACACAACUUAAGUUUGAAAGAAUCUGAAAGGAACACUUACCUUGAUUUAACUCCUGAAUAACUUAACUCAAUAUAAAACAAUAAAACAUAUGCAAUAUAUAGAAAGCUUGUAAAAACAGUGCAAACAACUCAGUUUGUUAAAGAAAAUGCAAUAAUAAACUCAAUUCUACUCAUAUAAUAAAGUAAUAUAGUUUCUGUGGGAGAUUCUCUAACCGACAAUCAUCACUAUGAGCCUAAGUAGUGAUACAACGUCUUUUCCACGCUGCCAGAACUAUCCUAUACUUUGUCGUCAUAUAGAACUACUUAACCUAGUGGAUCCACUAGCUUAUGCUAAAAGCAUCUUAAGGAGUCAUCUACAAAGAAUGAUUCUUUACUACCCAUGAUGGCUACUUGGUUUAUGGAGACUUGAGUUAAUAUGAACUCGCAUCCCCCAUAUCGGUGCUCAAUACUACUCCCAAAAAUAUACUUAGCUCAUAUGUUUUUAAAAACAAGCUUCUUUCUUUGGUUUGAGAUAAUUACUCAAAACUUAGCUUAAAAGCUCUCUUGGAAUCGAUGUUCCCUUUCUUGUUCAAAUGUGAAACCAUUUUUAAACUCUUCGGGAAUACAUAGUCCCCAUAUACUUCUUUGAAGAAAUGAACUUCAAUAUUUACUCUUUACUCUUUACUCAACUUGAACUUUAAGUCUUGAAACAAAGUUAAAAUGUUUGUAAGAGACUUUUGAAAGCUUUAAAGAAUUUCUCUUGACUUGCUUCUUAACUUUUAACUUGACUCUUAACUUUCCUUGAAUUGAAUUAUGGAUUCAAGGAUUGUGAUUUGUGAUAGGAAAGAUCUCAUGAUAUUUAGGAAUGAUUUUAGAUAGCUAAACAUGAGAAAAGAUCAAGAAAUUACUAUCUGAGGGUGGGUUCGUGACGCAGAGAAAUAUUUAAAUUUUUGGUUCGAAAACAACUUUUGAGGCAGAACGCUUCGUGACCGCUCCGUGACGCGAAACGAUUUUUCCCAAAUCUGGGGAGCAGGUCCGUGACGCGGAGGCACUGCCCAGUUUUGCCCGACGAAAUUCCUUUUUCGUUUUUCAACUCUAAACCCUCUAAACUCCAUUGGUUCUUUUCCCAAACACUUAGAAUUAUUUAUACCCUCAAACAACAUCAGAUUCUACUCGAAAACACAACUAAAAACGUGAAUCAAUCUCAAGAAAACUCCAACAACACAACCCACAAGGAUACAAACGAACUUCAUCAAGAAUUCAAGGGAUUUACUUUCAAAUCAAUAUACUUUGCUGAAAUUGAAUCAAGUUGGGCGCGUGGGUAGAAAAUCUUACUUCUCUAUGUAUGCUAUGGGAGAUGGUUUGUGUUAGAAAGCAUAUGCUCUAAGGCAUCCAAAUUAUUAGCAUGAAAUAGUUAGAAUGUGAAUUGCUGUUUAACUGAUUUGACUUAACUGGUUUGUAAAUAAAGUAUAUGGAGGUAUAAGCAUAUGAAGGAAUAGACUACUACCAAUGAGGUACAAAAAUAAGAUGUUACAGAAAUACUCUCAUAUGUUGUAGAACUAAGAUAGUGGAUAGGCAUAAGGACCUGAAUAAGUAACUUCAUCUGGAUUUUACUGUCAAUUCAAACAAGCUUCAUUCAUCCAUCACUCUCAUUUUUCCAUGUUUAAGUUACAUGCAUCUGAAAUCUUCUUCCUUGCAGAUAUACUAAUAAAAAAUGAAGCUACAAGAAUCUAGUACUUUACCACUUUUAACUUUGUUCUCACUUAAGCUUUGUUGAUACUGUCUGUCAUUGCAUAGUCUACGAAUAUACAGAUAUUGUCUUGGCCUACUCUUCAUUUUGGGAAUUGGAUCACUGUAAAAUUUCUCUUUUAUGUGUUUAAGAAUGAGAGAGCAGCAGAGGAGCAAAAGAGGUAUGAUGAAAGUGUCUUGUCUUUGGCAGAAGAACAGAAGGUUGUAAGCUCAUUCUGUGUGUUUACUCAAUUUCUGUAGUUAUGUAGUUAGUCUCUGACAUCUUGAGAAUUUUACAUGCAGAAGGCGAAAGAAACUCUCCGUCAGAAGAACAUGGAGUUUCAAAAGAAACUCGACUUAAAGCAAGCGCUAGAGUUGGAGAUUGAACGUCUCACAGGGGCCAAGAAUGUAACUGAACAAAUGUGAGAUGACCAAGAGGUGAAGAAAAAAUUCGACGAGAUCGAAGAGAGCCUAAAUGAGAAAAAAGAAGAACUAGAAGAUCUUGAAGCUUUGAAUCAAGCUCUAGUUGUUAAAGAGCAGCGGGCAAAUGUUGAGUUAACAGAUGCCAGGAAGGAGCUGAUCGAUGUAAGUACAACUCUUUCAAGUUCUGCAAUACCCUUAUCUAUUUUGUGAAUAACACUCAAGUUUCCAUUUUUCCUCCAAUGGAGUAAGAACAUCAGAAUGAUUAGGAGCAGGCUAUAGCACGUUCAAUUCGUUACAUGUUCAGUUUUCGUUCUCAACCUAUUACAAAUUUCAUGCACCAUCAACUGAGCUUCUAUUAUAGUCUAUGUUGUUGAACAUUCAAGUAUUCUUACAAGGUGAAAAUUUUGACAAAUGAAACAUGUUUCAUGGCAUUUCGUUAAUAAAGAAGCACUCUUUUCGAGCUUCCAUUGGUGUCAAGAGAAUGGGAGAACUUGAUAGUACAAGAUUUCGUGAGAUAACCAAGAGCAAAUUUCCUGGAACAGAUGCAGAUUUAAAAGCUACUCAGUUGUGCUCAAUCUGGGCACCUUGUGGAUCCCGAUUGGCAUCCUUUCAAAUAUGUAACAAGAGAAAAUGGUUCCAAGGUAAUAAUGCAAUAUAAUAGACUUAUACUAGUUGUUUUCCAUAUCUUUAUCCCCUUGAAUCAAAAUACUUAGAACUUAAUUAUUCCUUGUGUCUUGGUAGGAAAUCAUCAUUGAUGAUAACGACGAAAGGCUGAACAGGUUGAAACAUGAGUUUGGACAAGCCGCUUAUGAUUUGGUAACUGCUACUUUGAUGGAAAUUAAUGAAGGUCCCAGUGGUAGAUGCAUAACAACAGAGUUGUGGAACUAUAAGCUAGGAAGGAAAGCUACCCUCAAUGAAGGAAUAACUUUUGCUCUCCAGAAGUUAAAGAUCAGUAAAGGGAAGAAGCAGCAUUAACUUUCAUGGUUACAGUUUACGUACCAUCUUUCGAAUGGCAUGUUAUACCUUUUCUCUAUGGUGAUAUCUAUUUUAGACAAAAGAAAUUGAACCAUUUGAAGUAGGUUCCUUCAAAAGAAAAGGAAUCCAAAGCACUUGCUUUAGAGAAUCCAAGAUUGUCUAUGGAUUAGCAAAAGCAAAUGUGCACUUGAGUAGUAGUAGCAUCAAAGUUAUCCAAACUUUCAAACAUUGAAUAGCAUCUAGAAUCUGUUUUUCCAUUUUGAAUUGACAUAUUAUCUCAUUACUUUAGUAUCUGUUUUAGUCCUAAGUAUCUUGAUGAUACAUUGAAGUGAUGAAUGCCUAUAUACAUUGGUUUAGUUUAAACACUAGGUGCGACUAAAUUUUUUUCCAUUUUGAAUGACAUUAUCUCAUUACUUUAGUAUCUGUUUUGGUCCUUCCAAUCUCAAUGAUACAUCGAGGUGAUGAAUGUUGUAUUUGUUGGUUUAGUUUAAACACCAGGUGCGUCUAAGUUUUUUCCAUCGACAUGUGCUUGUCAGGCAAAGUUCAAGCAUUAAAGCUAGACUAGAAAUGAUAUCCAAAGUUCUGCACUUGAGUAAUAUCAAAGUGUAACAUACCAAAAGAAUGUAGAUUUUUUCGAUUAAAGUAAAUUACUGAAAAUACAGUAAGUACACUGCUCAAGCAUCAAGUACUACAAAACAUUAUACUGAUACAAAAAAAAAGGCUAAAAAUGUUAAAAGAGAAAACCCGAAUUCAUUAGGGUCUAAACAAAUAAAAACUCAAAGUACACGAACCAUGUUACAACAAAAAGGAAGAAGAACUUCAGGUCUACAAGGUGUAAACAGUAGGAAAUAGCAGCUGUAAAUUGCUACAGAAAAUUUGAAAGUGAAGAAGGCUGAAGUUUUCUUGAGUACAACUUUUUUUUCACUCGAAGUUUCAUUACAUAUGGUGUAUUUAUAGAUAAAGUGUGAGAAUUACAACCACAUAAUAAGCAAAAUAUCUCAUACCAAACUAUGUACAAAAAUGUGGCUCACUAACCACCACUCAUUUUUAAUCAAGACUAACAUAUCUAUUACAAAAUAUCUCCAACCUAGGAGUUUCUAGACAAAUCUUACUUUUCUAACAUAUCUAAUACAAAAUAUCUCAAAUCUAGGAGUUUCUAGACAAAUCUUAAUUUUCUAACACUCCUCCUUAAGAUUUUUCAUUGAAACUCCUUGCAACAACCUUUGAAACUCAAACUUCUUAGUGGAAAGAGCCUUGGUCAGAAUAUCGGCCUGCUGAUCUUCACUGAUGCAAUGCACCAACUUAACUUCACCAUUCUUCUCGGCAUCUCUUAAAGCAUGAAACCUUAUGUUGAUGUGCUUUGUUCUUCCAUGCUGCCCUGGAUUUUGAGCCAUCACAAUGGCUGAUUUAUUGUCCACAUAGAUCACUGUUGGUUCUUUUGGCAACAAAUUCAAUUCCAACAAGAUCUUUCUUAACCAAAUUGCUUGAUUUGUAGCAGAUGCAGCAGCCACAUACUUGGCUUCUGUUGAAGAUUGUGCGACAAUAUCUUGCUUCUUUGUGCUCAAAGAAAAAAUGCCUGAACCAAACGAAAAACAGUAACCAGAAGUGCUUUUGUAAUCAUCCAAACAUCCACCCCAAUCACUAUCUGAAUAGCCAAUAAGAGCUCCAUUCUCCACAUUUCUAUACCAGAUUCCAUAAUUAAUCGUCCCUCUAAUGUACCUUAACACCCUUUUAGCGGCUCCAAAAAUGCUUAGUGCUGGGACUUUGCAUAUAUCGAGAUAACAAACUGACAACGAACAUUAUGUCUGGCCUAGAAGCUAUUAGAUACAAUAGACUUCCAAUUAGACUUCUAUAAACUUUUUGGAUCUGCCCUCUCUUCGUCAUCAUCCUUCAUUAAUUUUUCAUUCACAACAAGUGGAGUUGCAACAACUUUGCACUUGUCAAGCUUGAACCUUUUAACAGAUUCAAGGCAUACCUCUUUUGGGAACAAGAAAAUUCCUUCACAAGAUUGAGAUAUCUCCAUUCCCAGGAAAAACUUCAUUUCUCCUAGAUCAGACAUCUCAAAAACAUUUAGCAUUUCAUUUUUAACUUCUUGAACCGCAAGAGGAUUUUCACUUGUAAUCAUCAAAUCAUCGACAUAAACUGAUAUCAUAAUCAACAUCCCAUCCGCUUGCCUUUUGGAGUACAAAUUAGGCUUAUUUAGGCUUCUGUUGAAGCCUUGAGACAGCAAAUGAGAAUCCAACCUACUAUACCAAGCUCUUGGGGAUUGUUUAAGACCAUAGAGAUCCCUUUUAAGCUUGUACACCUUGUCUUCUUCACCUGCAACUGUAAAACCUUCAGGUUGUUCAACAUAAAUGUCUUCCUCAAGCAAUCCGUUGAGAAAUGCAGAUUUUACAUCCAAAUGGAAGAUUUUCCACUAGUAUUGUGCUGCGAGAGCGACUAGAAAUCUUACUGUCUCAUGCUGCGCAACAGGAGAAAACGUUUCUCCAAAGUUCACUCCAGGAUGCUGAGAAUAACCUUAAACUACAAGUCUAGCUUUAUUCUUGAAGAUGGAGCCAUCUGGAUUGAACUUUUUUUGAUAGACCCAUUUGACACCGAUAACAUUCUUCUCUACUGGCCUAUCAACCAACUCCCAAGUAUCAUUUUUAUUAAUCAUGGCAAGUUCCUCCUCCAUUGCUGAAAUCCACACUUUGUGGUUUGCUGCUUCUUCAAAUGAGGAUGGUUCAACAAGAGUAAAAUUGCAUUGCUCAUAAACUUCUGCUAGUGAUUUGGUCUUCAAAACAUGAGAGUCUGUAGUCAAUUGAACAUCUAUUGAACAUCUGAAUUGUUUUUUGUUCCAUCAAUAGGACUAGAGAGAGUAUCACCUUUUUGCUGAUUAGGAGUUGCAGCUGAAGUACUCCCACCUUGGUUCUUCACAACAAUAUCUCGAUCCUAAUCAUAGUGGAUAGACUCAUCCACUGCAAGAUCUCUACUAACAAACACCUUCUUACUACUAACAUUGUACACUUUGUAUCCUUUUGCAACUGUACUAUAGCCCAAUAGAACACACAGUUCUGCCUUGCUAUCUAAUUUACCUUUUUUAGCAUCAGGAACAUGUGCAUAGCAUACCGAACGAAAUACAUUCAAGUGUCUCGUAGACUACUUGAUACCCUUCCAUGCUUCAAAUGGUGUCAUGUCUUGGACUGCUCUAGUUGGUAAUCUAUUUAGCAAAUAGACAGCGGUAUUGACUGCUUCAGCCCAAAAGUAUUUAGGCAUCUUCUUUUCUGCCAACAUGCAUCUCGCCAUCUCCAUCACAGUUCUGUUCUUCCUCUCAGAAACCCCGUUCUGCUGUGGAGUGUAGCUAACAAUGAAUUGUUAUUGGAUACCCAAAUCUUUACAAUACUUGCUGAACUGAUACAAAGUAUAUUCAGUUCCAUUAUCGGAAUAUACUUCCAUUUACAGCCACUCAUCCUUUCUACCAUAACUUUGAAUUAUUUGAAAACAGAAAACACUUGAUAUUUGCUACUAAGAAAGUAGACCCAUGUCAUUCGAGUCAGAUCAUCUACAAAGAGAACAAAAUACUUGUUUCCACUCAAAGAAACCGUCCUCAUUGGUCCACAUAAAUCUGUAUGAACCAACUCUAGCUUUUCCUUAGCUCUCCAAAGACUUCCUUUAGGAAAGGAUCGUCUAUGCAUUUUACCAAAUUGACAUGACUCACAAACAUCUCUACACAUGUCAAUUUUGGGUACUUCAAGCACCAUACCCUUUGAUUGCAUAUACAUCAGUGAGCAAAGAUUAUAAUGACUGAACCUUUUGUGCCAAAGCCAAGUAUCGCUCAAUUCAACACUAAUAGAGCUAGUAUCAAUAAAAUAGCAUGAAAUUAGAAAGGAAUUGUCAAUCAUGCUAAUUUUAGCUACUUCACAUCCUUUAGGAUCAUAAAUGUCACAUUGUUUGUCCUUAAAAUUAAGAGAAUAAUUUUUAUGAAGCAAUUGAGAAACACUUAACAAGUUUUGAGUCAAAUUUGGCACAUAAAGAACAUCAUUAAUAAUUUUCGUACCUUCGUCAGUAGGAAAUUUUACUGACCCUCUACCGUGAGCUUCCACCAAUGCGCCAUUUCCAAGUUUCACUUUGGUUCUAUCAGAUCUGUCCAAGGUAACAAACAUAUUUUCAUCAAUCGCCAUGUGCCUUGUGCACGCGCUAUCAACAUACCAUUUACAUUGGUCAUUAUGUGAUGUGUGCGAGGCCAUGAAAACCUCCUCCUCUGAUUUUCCAACUUGGUGAUGAUCUGUGAAAUUCACUCGAUGGGAAGACUGGCCACUUUGAUUUUGCUUUUGCCUACAAUACUUCUCAAUGUGACCAUACUUCUUACAAUAUCUACAUUGAAUUGGAGACCUCUUUGAAUUCUGCCAACAAUUCUUCUCUAAGUGGUUUGUCUUCUUACAAAUGCCACAUGGUGGAAAUUUUCCUUUUAUCGACAAAUCACCUUGGUUUCCACCAGAUUUAUCCAACCAGACUUUUCUACUUUCCUUUUGAUGUUUGCAUUUAUGCCUCGCUUGAAAGGCAUCUUUUACUAUCCCUUCACUUCUCAUAGUGACCCGUUGCUCUUGGACUUGCAAUUUGGAGAUUAGUUCGGCUAUUGUAAGAGUAGUCAAGUCACAAGACUCUUCAAUAGCUGAGAUUUUUGAUUCAAACUUGUCUAGAAGGCUAACCAAGAUCUUCUCUACAAUUUUCUGAUCUGGAAAGGUUUCACCAAGUAUUCUUAUCUGGUUCACAAUCUCCAUCAGCUUUGAAGAGUAUUCUUUCACACUAACUGAGUCUUCAAUCUUCAAAAGCUCAAACUCUCUCUUCAAUGCUAAGAGUCUAACAGACUUUACUCUAUUGCAGCCUUCAAACUCCUCCUUUAACUUAUCCCAAGCCUCUUUGGCUGUUUCACAAGUCAUAUUCCUCGUAAACAUCACGUCCGUAAGACUUGAAUGUAUGCAGGUGAGAGCUCGUGGGGAUCUAGUCACCAACUCAUCGUACUUCUUAAUUUCAUUGAGAGUUGCAUUAACUCUCAAUGGCUGGACAACAGGUUCUCCAAGCUCAACAACUUCCAGAAGUUGAGAGCCUUUAGAUAAGCCUUCAUUUUGAUGGCCCAUAUGUGAUAAUUCUCUCCGGUAAAAGUUGGAGGACCUGUCGUUGGUUGAUUUUCAGGUGCCAUGAAUUUUUUUCAGCAAGCAAAUUCAAGAAAGAACAUAAUGUAGAUGAGCGAAACAAACAAAAUUUGAUUCAGAUCCCUUAGGAAAUAGGCUCUGAUACCAUGUUACAAAGAAAGGGAAGAAGAACUUUUGGUCUACAAGGUGUAAGCAAUAGGAAAUCGCAGCUGUAAAUUGCUAGAAAAAAUCUGAAAGUGAAGAAGAAGGCUUAAGUUAUCUUGAGAUCAAUUUUUUUCACUAGAUGUUUCAUUACAUAUGGUGUCGAUGUUUUAUUACAUAUGGUGUAUUUAUAGAUAAAGUGUGAGAAUUACAACCACAUAAUAAGCAAAAUAUCUCAGACCAAACUAUGUACCUAUGUGGCUCAAUAACCACCACUCAUUUUUAAUCAAGACUAACAUAUCUAUUACAAAAUAUCUCCAACCUAGGAGUUUCUAGACAAUUCUUACUUUUCUAACAUAUCUAAUACAAAAUAUCUCCAACUUAGGAGUUUCUAGACAAAUCUUACUUUUCUAAUAUAUCUAAUACAAAAUAUCUCCAAUCUAGGAGUUUCUAGACAAAUCUUAAUUUUCUAGGGGGAAUAUUUUGAUGGUAAACUCCUUACCAAGUAUCAACCAUGCCUACUCUUUGAUUUUGCAAGAUGAGAAUCAGAGAGAUACUUAUCUCAGUCCUCAUCUUUCAUCUGAUUCCUCUUUUUCUUUCAUGGUGGGUAAUACCAAUCAAUACAAACAUGGAAAGCAGGCACAAAGGUAUCCAGCACCUUCACAAAGAUCUGGGAUCUCACAAUCAAGAAAAUCACUUUCCAAGAGCCACAAAGGUUCCAGAAACAACAAAAUCAAUUUCAGAAAUUCAAAGGAAAAAGGGCCAAGUAUGAUCCUAAUGUUACCUGUACAUAUUGUGGAAAAACAGGCCAUGUAGUGGAUAGUUGUUUUAGAAAAAUAGGUUUUCCAGAAAACUUUGUGUUCACAAAUGAUAAAGGAAUGCAGGGACAGAUUAGGGGAAAUUGAGCAUUGAUUACUGAAGACAAUGAAGGAAGAAACAAUGAUCAAACAUAUGUCACAAAUGUUGCUCACAAUUACAACAAAGAACAAUACAAUUAAUUUCUUCAUAUGUUUAGACAAAUGAAAAUGGAGGAGGCAUCACAGAAAAACACAGGCUCUGAGAUCAACAGUAAUGUUGUGGCUGGUACAAUUUCAAAGUAUCUUGGAUCCUGUUUUUCUGCUAUUCAUUCUAGCACCUGGAUCAUCGAUUCAGGUGCAUCUGAACAUGUGUUAUAAUCCCCAAUGUUUUACCUCCAUGCCCCCUCUUCAAUUCCCCUUGACCAUUAAUCUUCCUAAUUGUCAAACCAUUCAAGUCACUCAUUCAGGAACUGUGCCUAUAUUUUCUAAUAUCAUUUUACAAAACGUUUUGUAUGUUCCCAGUUUCAAGUUCAAUCUCAUGUCUGUUUAUAAAUUCUGUGUUCAAUUUCCUUACACACUAUUUUUUACAUCACAUGAAUGAGUGUUUCAGGACUCUUCAAUGAGGAGGGGUCAAGUUUUUGGUGAAGCCAAGGAGGGUCUCUACUUGCUACAACCCAGUCCUCAGAAGUGUAGUUCUUUUUUUAGCAAUAGUGUUUCAGUUUCACCACAUACUAUAUUUAGUGGAUCUAGUCCUUUAUCUUUACCCCAGUUCUUAUUGAAUCAGUUUCAGUUUCUCAUUCUGUAUAUACAAGUGCAACUUCUAAUGUAAAAUUGUGGCACAUUAGAUUGGGGCAUUUGCCUUACUCUUCAAUGAAAAAUGUUAGUUUCCUUUCUUUUCCGAGUAAUUAUGACUGUGUUUGUGAUGUGUGUCCUAAAGCUAGGCAAUCCAGGCUACCCUUUCCCAUUAGUCAAAUUUCUAGCAAAUCUGUUUUUGAUCUUAUCCAUGUUGAUACUUGGGGACCUUAUAAAGUAGCUACUCAUAAUCAUUAUAGGUAUUUUUUUGACUAUUGUUGAUGAUUUUAGUAGAGCUACUUGGACUUGUUGGCUACAAAGAGCAAUGCAUUCACAGUCUUGCAAAGUUAUUUACAAAUGGUGGAAAGACAGUUCAAUGCGAAGGUUAAAGUCAUUAGAUUGGAUAAUGCCUUAGAACUAGGAAAGAGUGAAGCGGGUUCUCAAUUCUUUAGUUCUCAUGGGAUUAUGCAUCAGACCUCUUGUGUGGCCACUCCACAACAAAAUGGGAUAGUGGAGAGAAAAUACAGACACUUACUAGAGCUUGCAAGGGCUUUAAUAUUUCAAUCUCAUGUUUCUAUCGUUUACUGGGGAGAGUCCAUCCUUACAACCACUUAUUUGAUUAACAGGUUACCUUCUAAGGUGCUCAAAGGAAAAACACCUUAUGACAUCAUAUUCGGGAAGUGACCAUCUUAUCAUACUUUGAAGUGUUUUGGAUGUUUAUGCUAUGCUAACACUUUAACUCAUGGCAGGGAUAAGUUUCAACCUAGAGCUAUGAAGUGUGUUUUCCUAGGUUAUCCUAGUGAUAAAAAAAAGGUACAAGUUACUGAAUCUUGAAAAUAAAAGGAUAUUUGUAUCCAGAGAUGUUCAUUUCUUUGAGCAUAUUUUUCCCUUUGUGGAUAAAUCUGAUGACAUUCCUUCUUCUAUAUUUCCAGAUUAUGCAAUUUAUCUACUGAUCAGCCUGAUUCUCAAACUGAUCUCAUUCCUCAUACCAUUCCAUCUACUAGUUCCUCUUCUUCACCAGAUCAUCCAUUCACUUCAUCAUCACCUGAUUCAACUCAUACUCAGAUUUCCCCUUGGUUCAACUCACUCUCAUAUUUCAUACCUUGAUUCUUCCAUUAAUAAUCCCAGAAGAUCUCACAGAAUAAAGAAACUUUACCGUCACAUCUUCAAGAUUAUUAUUGCAACACCAUUUUUUCAGUGAUGUGACAAACUCCUAUUUUGACACUCCUACUAAACCUAGUGUUAUUUCUUUUCAUGCUCUUUCUCUUUCUAAUAAAUCCAUCGUACAAUCAGUUUCUACAAUCACUGAGCCCACCAGUUAUAAAGAAGCUUUUACUCAUCCAGGUUGGAGGAAGGCUAUGGAUGAUGAAAUGGAGGCUUUACAAGCAAAUCAUACAUGGGUCUUAGUUGCUUUACUUCCGGGUAGACAAGCUUUACCUUGCAAGUGGGUUUACAAGGUGAAGCAACAUGCUGAUUGGAUACUUGAGAGGCUGAAAGCAAGGUUGGUGAUCAGGGGUGAUAUAAAGAAAGAGGGGAUAGAUUUCAAUAAGACUUUUUCCCCGGUGGUCAAAAUGACCACUAUCAGAUGUUUGCUAGCCAAUGCAGCCAAGAAGAAUUGGGAAAUUUCUCAAUUUGAUGUAAACAAUGCCUUCUUGCAAGAAGAUUUGCAAGAAGAAGUUUACAUGAAGUUCCCAAUUUGUGUUGAUCCUCCUAAAGCUAGUUUGGUUUGUAAGUUACAAAAGAUUUUAUAUGGUCUCAAGCAAGCCUCUAGGCAAUGGUAUGCCAGACUUGCAGGGGCCCUCAAUUUCAAAGGUUUUAUUGCCUCUUUGAUUGAUUAUUCUCUUUUCUUUAAGAAAGUAGGGGAUACUAUUGCUACUGUGGUUGUUUAUGUGAUGAUAUAUUGAUAACUGGAGAUGCUUACACUGUGAUAGAGGAUCUAAAAGUCUUUCUUAAUUCAGAAUUUAAGAUCAAGAGUCUUGGGUCCCUGCAUUACUUUCUUGGUAAGGGACAAUCAUGGUUUGAUAGUCAGUCAAAAGAAAUAUACCUCUGAUUUGUUGUGCGAAUUUGAUGUCUCACAUCUUCCUCCAAUUGCCUCUCCAUUGGAUCCUGCAGUGAAAUUUGUCACAGAAUUAGUAGAGUAUAUGGAAGAACAACCUUAUAUCAGCACAUCAUUGGUAAGUUAAAUUACUUAACUCAUACACGACCGAAUAUAUGUCAUGCAGUUUUGAUUCUCGGUCAAUUUAUGCAAAAACCAAGUCUUGAUCACUAUCAUGGAGCUUUGAGGGUUGUAAGUUACCUGAAACAGUAUCCGCAUCAGGGUCUAUUCUUUUCUUCUUCUCCAUCCUUUUCCCUUAAUGCUUUUUGUGAUGCGGAUUGGGCUUCGUGUAGAGACUCACUGAGAUCUAUCAGUGGUUUAUUCAUUAGUUUAGGGGGUUCCCCCAUUUCUUGGAAGUCCAAUAAACAUAUCUCUAUAUCCCUCUCUUCCACAGAGGCAGAGUAUCGAUCUAUGCGUCGAUUGGUAGUUGAAUUAACCUGACUUACUCUAUUACUAGAUGAUCUCUCUGUUCUGCCUCAACUUCUUGUACCUGUGCGGACGAAGCACGUUGAGUUGGAUUGUCAUUUUGUCCGUCAACAGUACUUGUUAGGGCUCAUUUCCCUAUCUUUUGUUCCUUCCAAAGAGCAACUCGCUGACAUAUUCACUAAGCCUCUUUAUGGCCCGCAACAUCAUGGAGUUCUAUGCAAGUAAGGGUCUCACUCCGCUCCCCUCCACCUUGAGGGGGAUGUUGGAAUUCAACCUUCUUCUACACCAUCUUCUCAACCAUUUAUAGCAUGUUCUAAUUUCACCAGAGAGAAGAUGAAGAUGUCUGAUGAUGUCUUGUUUGAGAAAAGCAAAUGGGCCAAGAGUGAUAUUGGGUCGCAGAAGAAGGCACGGAUGGGCUCGGCUUGGAAUUAGACAAAUAAUGUAUAGGUUAAUAUUUAUUUAAUUUUCCACACUUGUAUAAAUACAGGAUUCUUUACGCAGUAAAUACACACGAGAAAAAUUUUCUAUACGGCCUUCAAGUUUUACAUUAAUUAAGGAUGGAAAAAACACUGUGGCUGUGACUUUUUCACACCACCUAGGGGUUUAGAGUUUGACAUUCAAAUGGAGACAAGUUCCCCAAUUUUCCACAAACAAAAUGUUUCAAUUUUUUCAUUACUAGUGCGUCCAUCUGUUCACUUUUACUUGUUCACUUCAAAUUUUUUAUAACCCUUAGAAAAAAAAUGAUUAAAGUAGUUCACACCCAGCUUUGACAAGUGACAACAAUGCCCUAUGACAUAAAAUAACUAUUACUCCCUCUGUCCCAAUUUAUGUAGCAUUUUCUUUUUUUCGAAAGUCAAACAGUUUAAGUUUGACCGGCAAUUUGCACAUGGAAUGUUCAAAUUUUUUGAAAUGAAAUUUAUAUAUUUGUAAACUACGUAAAAAGUACUAUAAGUCACAAUAAUUGAUAAUUCAAUUUUUUUUUAAAACUAUGAAAAACUUACUGUAAAAAAUAAACUUAUUUGAAUCUCGAAAACCAAAAAGUUUCACAUAAAAAAUGAGACGGAGGGAGUACUUCAAUAACUAUCAAACUAUCAAACAAAAAACUAAAAAAGGAAACCAACUCAACAUGACCCCACAAAAGAAAAAGAAAAAGGAAAAAGAACAAGAAAACACAAAUAAAUGAAAAAUCAAGAAAAGCUCAAAAAAGCUAAUUGAGCUCUUUUCCCACUUUUGGCUUCACCCAUCAUGAAUCUGAAUUAGUCCAUCAAUAGAUUUCGAAUAUUGAAUAUCUAUAGACUUUCUAAACAAAUACAUAUGAUAUACAUAAGUUAUAUUCUUUGAGAAAAAGCCUUAUUUUUAUCGGGUUAUCAAUUAACACUUAUAAUAUAAACAAAGUUAAAAAAAAUGCUUGCCUACGAUAAACAACAGGGACGAUACCAGCACGAUACUCAGCGAUCUUGAGGAACAUAGGCAUGGUGAGAUCAAAAUGAGUACGAGGUGGAUUACACCAACCACCAUUAUCAUUAGGCAAUGCAUAAUUUGGAGGACAAAAGUUAGUUGCAGUAAUCAAAAUUUUUUGGCGAGUUGAAUAUACUAUUUUAUUCAGAGUUAAUCUUUUGAGUUAAAGGUUUUGUAAUUUAGUUCAAUGAAUUUUAUUUAAUUUUAAGCUUUGUAUGCUUGAGUUAGUCUUCUGCUUGUAGUCAGCCAGGAUGAGGGUUCACUUGGGGGUCAACAAUGGUUCUCGAGUGUCGGAAGAGCAUGCCGACCAUCUUCGUAUUGUUUUAGGUGUUCUUGGGAGACAAAAGUUAUACGCCAAAUUUUCCAAGUGGGAGUUUUGGUUGGAUUCAGUUGCCUUUUUGGGACAUGUAGUUUCAAGGAAAGGGGUAAUGGUAGAUCCCCAAUACAUUGAAGCGGUUAAGAAUUGGGUCCGGCAUAGCUCUGUGACUGAAGUUAGGAGUUUUGUUGGGCUCACUAGCUACUAUCGUCGAUUUGUGAAAAACUUUACUUCUAUUGCCACGCAUUUGUCAAGGUUGACCAAAAAGGAGGUUCCUUUUGAAUUGACUAAAGAGUGUGAAGAGAGAUUUUAAAAGCUCAAGACUCUUUUGACCAUAACACCUAUCUGGGCACUACCGGUGGAAGGUAAGGAUUUCAUUGUUUAUUGUGAUGCUUCACAUUCGGGUUUGGGUGCUGUGUUAAUGCAGGAUAAGAAUGUUAUAGCUUAUGCAACGCGGCAGUUGAAGGUGCAUGAGAGAAAUUACCUAACACAUGAUUUAGAGUUGGCAGCGGUAGUGUUUGCUCUUAAGAUCUGGCGACAUUACCUCUAUGGUGUCAAGUGUGAGGUGUUUACUGAUCAUCGUAGUCUACAACAUGUAUUCACUCAAAAUGAUAUGAAUUUGAGACAACGAAGGUGGAUGGAGUUACUCAAAGAUUAUGAUGUGACCAUUCAGUAUCAUCCGGGUAAGGUUAACGUGGUGGCAGAGACAUUAAGCCGAAAUGCGAUGAGUAUGGGUAGUCUAGCUUGCUUGAGUGUAUCCGAGCGACAUUUGGCUAAGGAAAUUCAAACCUUGGAAUCUAAGUUCAUGCAGUUGGGCAUAUUAGAAAAAGAUGGGAUUUUCAAGUGAAGGAAGAGCAUCCAAUUCAGAAUGAGAAAUCAUUAGAACAAGGAGCACGAGGACGUGGCAGAGGCUCCUUUAGAGGCAGAUGAUGUGGUAGAGGCAUAAGCCAAUUUGGGUGGACAAAUAGCCGUAAGAGCGAAGUGCAGUGUUAGAAUUGUCAUAGGUUUGGCCAUAUAGAAGCUAAGUGCUGGUAUUAAAAUGAUCAAGAUUGUUAUGCCGUGGAAGUGGAAGAAGAAAGCGUGCUUUUCAUGGCUCGCUCUACCACCAUAGAUUACAAGACUGGUGUUCGGUUUGUCGAUAAUGGAUGCUCCCAUCACAUGACCGGUGAAAGAAAAGGAUUUAAAGAUUUAGAUGAGACAAAAAUGAGGCGAAUUUGGCUUGGUGAUAAUAAGGAAAUUCAAGUUGAAGGUGAAGGUACUAUUGCUGUCCAAACUAGUCAAGGUAAAGUGAAACUUAUUCAAAAUGUGUUAGUUUGGCACAUAACUUACUAAGUGUUGGGCAAUUGUUGAGUUGUGGAUUCUCGAUCUUGUUUGAUGAUGACUCAUGUGUUAUUAAGAAUAACAAGUCUGGUCAAAUCUUAGCUAAUAUUCACAUGACAGAUAAUAAAUUGUUUCAACUUGAAGUUUCAAAAGUUGAACAAGCCUUGAUUGUUAGUGAGAAUAAUCUUGACGAAUCUAAGUUGUGGCAUUUGCGUUAUAGACACUUGAAUAUGAUUGGAUUGAGAUUGUUAAGUCAAAAUAAGAUUGUUCAUGGUUUGCCAAAUAUAGGAUCUGUUGAAAAAAUAUAUAUGAAGGUUGUAUUUAUGGCAAGCAACAUAGAAAUUGUUUUUCUGUUGGAAGAUCCUUAAGAGAUACUAGCUAUCUUGAAAUUGUUCAUGCAAAUUUGUGUGGUCCAAUGAACUCAAAAUCUCUUGCUGGUUCUCAAUAUUUUUUGUUACUAACUGAUGAUUACAGUUGGAUGAGUUGGGUAUAUUUUUUGAAGCUCAAAUCAGAAACUUUUGCAAGCUUCAAAAAAUUCAAGGCGUUGGUUGAAAACCAAGUUGGUAACAAAGUUAAGGUUCUGCGUAUCGACUGAGGAGGUGAGUUUUUAUCACAAGAAUUUAACUUGUUUUGUGAAGAAAAUGGAAUUCGCAAGGAAUUAACUGCAGCUUACACUUCGAAACAAAAUGGGAUUGCUGAACAAAUUUGGACUAUGGUACUUUCGAUGUACAAAUUUUAGUCUCUAUGCUUUUUCAGAUAGUGAUUGGGCAGGGAAUGUGAACGAUAAAAAGAGUAUUUCUGGGAACAUUUUCACUCUUGGUUCUGCGGCUAUUACUUGGAGCUCAAAGAAACAAUCAACAACAUCAUUGUCUUCUUCCGAUGCUGAGUAUGUUGCAGCAACAUCUUCAACAUGUCAAGUGUUGUGGCUAAGGAAAUUACUUGCCGAUCUUCACCAAGAAGAAAAGGGAGAAACAAAAAUUUUGUGUGAUAAUUUAUUAUUAAUUGCAAUGGCCAAAUAUCUUGUUUGUCAUGGAAGAUCAAAGCACAUAGAUAUUCGUCAUCAUUUCAUCUGUGAUCUGGUUACAGAAGGGUUGAUUGAGCUAAAGAGUUGUAGUAGAGAAGAACAGGUGGAAGAUAUUCUUACUAAAGCACUUCCUCUUGCAAAGCACAAUUAUUUUAUGUUAUGCCUUAGUGUAUGUGAUUUUGAAUAAAGGGGGAGUGUUGAGAAUUGAUUAAAAAAAGAGUCUAAGUUACUAAGUUACUGCGUAGGGUAAAUUAUUUACUGUGAGUUUGAAUUAGUCUUUUAUUAUCGUUGAAAGAGUCUUUGUUAGGUUGUUAUUUGGUUGCUAUUUUUCCGGCACUUUCCUAGUUUCUAGUCAAGUGGGAGUCAUGGAUAGAUAUUAUCUUCCUGAGUCUGUAAUCCUAUAAAAGCAGAUGUUUCCGUUUAAUAAAGAGGUCACGUCUACAAAGUAUUUCCUUCGUAUUCUUUGUGCAGUUCUAAGAUUUGUAGUUAAAGAACCUCUGUGUUUCCUACAAGAACUUCAUGGUUCUUGAGAAAGAGUAUAUGUAAGUUAAGACUCCAUUUCCUCCAUGUAGCAAUCAAGGUAAGCAAUAUAUCCAACAUGUUGAAACAAGUAAGUUUUUUUCAGAACUAUUGAGAUUUAAUUGCAUAGAUGACUGAAAUUAAACUUUUAUGUAUCAAACAAAACAAACAGCUAGACUAGCUAGUAGUUAUUCUUAUAUAUGUACUCCUUCAUUCUUCUAAUCACUCUCACUUGUAGUUUAUGGAUCAGUAGUGGUCCGAUAAUCUUAUGAUUUCAAAAAGCCUCAUUCUGGCUCUCCAAGAAUGAUAUAUUACCGCUGCAACUACUGCCGAUAACAUAGCUUUGCUCACCGACCGUUGUGUCCUUUUGAUCAUUUCUAUCCAUAUGCCUUGUAAUGUCAAGUCUUACAAGUUUAGGCCAUUUUUUUUGUAGAAUUAUUUUACAUUCAAUACAAUAAUUUAUCAAAUAGUCAUUGUGAAUUUAUAUACAAAUAGUAGUGAUUUGUUUUCUCCGGGUGCUAUUGGUAAGGGUGAGGAAAAGGACAUAAAAACUCUACCAUGUCUUCUAGUCAAGUUCAUACUCAAUUUCAUUCAUCUACCAUGUGAUCUAUCUUAGUUACUUAGUUUAUAUUGGCUAGUUCUUAAAAGGGAUCUAUUCUAUAUACAUUAAUCUAAUCAAAAGUCUAAUCAUAGUACAAUAAAAUGAAAGAUGUAUAUGUGCUCGCUCAAAUCUUAUGGUUUAGUAUCUUGGUAGAAUAUAUGCUCGCCUAAACCUUGUUGUUACACUUCCAUGGGAGGUUAGUGACAACCAACAGAUUGAUCAAAUGGAAGAUCAACGUGGAAUCAGAGUGUGGACUUUGUAGAACUACUUGUUAUAGAAUAUAAUAGGUGUAAAUAUUAUAUCUUCCAUAUAUAGCUAAUUUAAUUAUAGGAGCAGAUUCUUAGUUGAUUUACUUUGAUUAGUUUUCCUUUCAUAGAAGCAUAGUAUUUGUAUAAGUAUCUUGUCUUGAUGAAUAGAAAGGAACAAGUCAUUCUCCAUAUAAUAUAAGUUACAUGGUAUCAGAGCAACUGUCUAAGCUGGGAUUUGGCUUUGCCGGAAGUCACUGUGACUUCGCCGGAAGCUACUGUGGCUUCGGGGAAGUAGUUGAGAGCUCUAUCUUUCACCUUUGAAUCUGGACACUAUUUCUAUGUUAGAGAAAUUGAUUGUCUAAGUGUACUGAAUCCAUUUUGUGGCAUCUGGGUUCAGAUUGAAACUCUAAAAUCUGAAGCUUGAUUGUCUGCCUUUCUCGAGUGAAGCUGGUGCUUCAAAAUUCUGGAAAUUCAAGAAGGGUGCUAAGAAUAUUUGUGGGAGAUCUGUUUGUGAACUCAAAUCUGAAGCUUGAGUCAUUCUGGAGCUGUUUCGAUAAGGUUAUUUAGUCGGAACUCGAAACAUUCAAACGAAGUAUCAAAGAAGACGACCUGUCCAUCCUUCUAAUUUUUGGGUUGCUGUCCAGAAAAUCUGUUGGCUUCUCAGACAUUGUUGUUUUUUCCGGUCAACAUCCCCUUCGUUUCUGAUUAUUCGGCCAGAUUGGUCUUGGUGCGGUCAGAUCUGGUUAGUCAUUUUAUUUUGGUGAUUGUAUUGUCUUUUCUUUGGGAUUAUAGUCUGUUUGGGACUUGUUGGUUUGUCCACCAAUUCAUUUUGGUACCGUGAGCGUUUUGUUGGGAAUAUGACUGACUGUAAUCAGGGAACUCAAAGGUUUGAUAAAAUGAUUUUGAUUUCCUCAAAGGAGUUUGCUGAAUUCUCUCGAUAUCAGAAAUUAUUGAAGGAAUCCACCUCAGUUAAUGCCUUUACUAAAUCAGAUAAAACAUGUCUAAUCACCUCUUCAAAUAAAUGGGUGAUUGAUUCAGGUGCCUCAAAUCACAUGACCGGUAAUUCUAACAUUUUUACUAGUUUUCAGUCACACAAAGCUCCCUCUCCGGUUACUGUAGCUGAUGGAUCAACUUGUAACAGUGAUGGAUAUGGGACUGUUAAACCAACCUCCACUAUUACCUUGUCAUCAGUAUUAAGUCUACCAAAGUUGGCCUUCAAUUUGAUUUCUGUUAGCAAAGUUACCAGAGACCUUAAUUGUUAUAUUUCGUUCUUUCCGGAUCAUUGUUUGUUUCGUGAUCUUAAGACGAAUCAGGUUAUUGGUAAAGGACAUGUAUCUGACGAUCUCUAUAUUUUGGAUGAAUGGGGGCCUCAGUUUGUUGCCUGCUCUAGUGUUGUGUCUCCAUUUGAAGCACAUUGUCGAUUGGGACAUCCAUCUCUACCUUUGCUAAAGAAGCUUUGUCCGCAAUUCCAAAAUAUUUCUUCAUUAGAAUGUGAGUCAUGUCGAUUUGCAAAACAUCAUCGCAGCUCAUUAAGUCCAAGGGUUAAUAAGCGGGCUGAGUCAGCUUUUGAGUUGGUUCAUUCUGAUGUUUGGGGACCAUGCCCUGUCAUUUCCAAAACUGGGCAUAAGUAUUUUAUUACUUUUGUGGAUGAUUUUUCUCGUAUGACUUGGAUUUAUUUCAUGAAGAGUCGCUCAGAAGUGUUUACUCACUUUUGUGCCUUCUAUGCUGAAGUCAAAACACAAUUCAAUGCUUCGGUACGUAUUCUAAGGAGUGACAAUGCUAAAGAAUAUAUGUCAGAAUCAUUUCAAUCAUACAUGAGACAACACGGUAUUCUCCACCAGUCUUCAUGUGUUGAUACACCCUCUCAAAAUGGAGUUGCUGAGAGGAAGAAUAGGCAUCUACUUGAGACAACUCGAGCACUUUUGUUCCAAAUGAAGGUUCCUAAACAGUUUUGGGCAGAUGCAGUCUCUACGGCUUGUUUUCUGAUUAAUCGUAUGCCAUCCACUGUUCUUGCUGGUAAUGUGCCUUACAGUGUUCUGUUUCCAAACAAGUCACUAUUUCCAGUAGAACCUAAGGUAUUUGGAAGCACUUGUUAUGUUCGAGAUGUUCGACCAUCUGUCACUAAGUUGGAUCCAAAGGCAUUGAAGUGCGUUUUUUUGGGUUAUUCUCGUCUUCAGAAGGGGUAUCGAUGUUAUUCUGCUGAACUUGGCAAAUAUUUGGUAUCAACUGAUGUGGUAUUUUCAGAGACUACACCUUUCUUUUAUGCACCUCCUAUUUCUACAAGUCAAGGGGAGGAAGAUGAGUGGUUAGUCUAUGAGGUCACCCGUGUUUUGACAGAAGAAUCAAAUAUUGUCCCUCCAUCUCUCAGAUCAUCUAUUGAGGAUCAAUCGGAUACUGUACCAUCAGCUCCUGCACCAUCUACGGUAGUAAGACCUCCGGUUGUACAAGUUUACUCGAGGAGGCGAGAGGCCAUUGAUACAUGUUCUGCACCAGUCCCUUUGUCAUCAGAUCCUCAUUCGUCUGAUCUUCCAGAAGAUCUUGAUCUCCCUAUUGCUAUUCGCAAAGGUACACGUAGUUGCAAAUCUCCAUACUCCAUUGCUAAUUUUGUUUCCUAUGGUCAUUUAUCCUCUAUGUCUAGAUCUUUGAUUGUUUCUCUAGACUCUAUCGUUGUUCCUAAGACAGUUAAGGAAGCCUUGAGUCACACUGGAUGGUAUAAUGCAAUGCUUGAGGAGAUACAUGCACUAGAUGAGAAUCACACUUGGGACUUGGUGGAUUUACCAAAAGGAAAGAAGGCAGUGGGAUGCAAAUGGGUNNNNNNNNNNNNNNNNNNNNNNNNNNNNNNNNNNNNNNNNNNNNNNNNNNNNNNNNNNNNNNNNNNNNNNNNNNNNNNNNNNNNNNNNNNNNNNNNNNNNNNNNNNNNNNNNNNNNNNNNNNNNNNNNNNNNNNNNNNNNNNNNNNNNNNNNNNNNNNNNNNNNNNNNNNNNNNNNNNNNNNNNNNNNNNNNNNNNNNNNNNNNNNNNNNNNNNNNNNNNNNNNNNNNNNNNNNNNNNNNNNNNNNNNNNNNNNNNNNNNNNNNNNNNNNNNNNNNNNNNNNNNNNNNNNNNNNNNNNNNNNNNNNNNNNNNNNNNNNNNNNNNNNNNNNNNNNNNNNNNNNNNNNNNNNNNNNNNNNNNNNNNNNNNNNNNNNNNNNNNNNNNNNNNNNNNNNNNNNNNNNNNNNNNNNNNNNNNNNNNNNNNNNNNNNNNNNNNNNNNNNNNNNNNNNNNNNNNNNNNNNNNNNNNNNNNNNNNNNNNNNNNNNNNNNNNNNNNNNNNNNNNNNNNNNNNNNNNNNNNNNNNNNNNNNNNNNNNNNNNNNNNNNNNNNNNNNNNNNNNNNNNNNNNNNNNNNNNNNNNNNNNNNNNNNNNNNNNNNNNNNNNNNNNNNNNNNNNNNNNNNNNNNNNNNNNNNNNNNNNNNNNNNNNNNNNNNNNNNNNNNNNNNNNNNNNNNNNNNNNNNNNNNNNNNNNNNNNNNNNNNNNNNNNNNNNNNNNNNNNNNNNNNNNNNNNNNNNNNNNNNNNNNNNNNNNNNNNNNNNNNNNNNNNNNNNNNNNNNNNNNNNNNNNNNNNNNNNNNNNNNNNNNNNNNNNNNNNNNNNNNNNNNNNNNNNNNNNNNNNNNNNNNNNNNNNNNNNNNNNNNNNNNNNNNNNNNNNNNNNUUUUGUCAUUCUUUAACACCCCACCUCACGCCCAGUGCUUAGCAUCUGGUGCGUGGGCAAUUUUUAUUUUGGGGGCCCAACAUCGGGUGAGACGGGCCCUGCUCUGAUACCAUUCCACCCAUCUCAUUAACCACCGAUGUGGGACAUUUUGUCAUUCUUUAACACCCCACCUCACGCCCAGUGCUUAGCAUCUGGUGCGUGGGCAAUUUUUUAUUUUUUGGGGGCCCUAACAUCGGGUGAGACGGGCCCUGCUCUGAUACCAUUCCACCCAUCUCAUUAACCACCGAUGUGGGACAUUUUGUCAUUCUUUAACACCCCACCUCACGCCCAGUGCUUAGCAUCUGGUGCGUGGGCAAUUUUUUAUUUUUUGGGGGCCCUAACAUCGGGUGAGACGGGCCCUGCUCUGAUACCAUUCCACCCAUCUCAUUAACCACCGAUGUGGGACAUUUUGUCAUUCUUUAACACUACUGAUGAAAGCAGAGACCAUUUGUUCGUUUCAUGCAACUAUACUCUCAACAUAUGGGAAAGGCUAUUAAGUGGAUCAAAAAAUUAAUGGUCACUGCCCAAACCUGGAAACAAUAUGUAGAUUGGGAAACUCAUUAUAGAAGAUAAAGAUCACAAAGUGCUAGACUAUUCAGAAUGGUCUUUACUGAAGCGAUGUACGUCAUCUGGAUAGAGAGAAGUCUGAGUUGCAAUUAGUUAAAUUGUAUAUGCAAUUAGUUUUAUACUGUUGAAUCAUGAAUACAUCAUGUAUGCAAUUAGUUUUAAGUUGCUGAAUCAUGAAUACAUAUAGUUGCCUGGCUUAACUGUCGUCUGCCAUAUAGUGCUUAACUUCAUGUUGAAUUGCAACCUUUUUUUUUUGUCUAUUUCCAUCAUUAGCCAUUGUUAUACAUCUUCGUCUUGCUUUACUGUUUACAUAAUUUCUGCAUAGUUGACGCACAUUUUACUCUCUUUUUUCAUCUUCUUUACUAUAGAAGUGAAAUUCAUCAUCGUUUAUGUUGUGUUCAUUAACUUAAUUCAUAUUUUAAUACUGUAGGAUAAAUUAGAGAGUGUUGACAUAAUCAUCGUGAUCAUAUAUCUGGAUGGAUGAAUGAGUUAUGGAACAAAUGGAGAGGAAGCUUUCAUGCAACUUAUUGAAGAAUAAACCAACUGUGUAGGCUCUUAACUAUAUUCCCAAGGGAGUAGACAAGAAGGAAUGGGAGUGGUUAGUUAAGGAAAAACAAAUUCCAAACUAGUGAUUUUAUAGUCUAUUUUGUCAAAGCUUUAAUUUCGCAGCUCGUCAUAGUAUUUUAGGUGUGAAACUUUCAAUUUGCAAAAUUGCACUUCAAAUUUUAUUUUUUACAUUCAAUUUCAUAGCUUUGUGUCAAAUACAAUGGAUGAUUUUGUGGGGGUCAGGUAUAAAUUUCGUUUUCCUUUCAAUUAACAAUAUAGGCGAGAAGUAGUAGAAAUGCAGAAAACCGAGCUAUGUUGAAGAUGUUUCAUCAUAUUGGUAGCAAGCCUGUUAGAUAGAUUAUUUAUCAGCAGGUGUUAUCUGCAAGUAUCAUCACACAUAUUUUCUACAUGUACAGUUGCACGCACGUGCUUUUCCUCUUUUUAUUUUUUCUUAUUUUCUACAUACAAUUGUUUCAGAAGUACUAUACUGCACUCAUCCUUGUAGUAGUGGAGAUGUGUUUGGUCUAUUUUUCUUUAAAUCAUCAUAUAGUUGAAGAAUUUAUUCAUCGUGUCUUACAUUUCUAUGAUUAUUGCCAGCAUAUUUUUUACUCCCAUUGAAUCAUAUCUAUCAAACAGUAAUGAUGAUGUCAUGCAAGUCACUUUUCUUGUUGUCAAAUAUCACUUGGGUCUUUAUCCAUGAUCGAUGUCUUUGGAUUAAAAUCAUAGAAAUAUGCUUGCAAUAUUGGAUGUAUCACACACAAAAGCAUUUUCUACCCAAUUUUACCACAAAAGAGAAUAAAACUAUUAAUCCAAUAACAAAUUAUUUAACUUAAUCAUCUUUAAUUUGAUCAAGGUUAUAGUCAGAAAUAGUAAGAAACUAUUGUGUAGCAUCAAGUCUAAGAUUCCUUCUUCAUGUACUUACUUGGACAUACUAGAAUCAUAUAAAUGCCACAACAACAGCGUUUACAGUAUGUUGUGCCCCAAUCAGAAAAUCUGUCCAAAACAAAUUAUAAGGACACAAAAUCCUACUUACAUGAUCUAUUUCCCUUAAUCAAAAGAACAAAAAAAGAUCCAACAAUAUGAUAAUUUCCUUAAAAUUACAGUUCAACCUAUAAUACUAAGAUACUUAGAAAAAUAACUUUGAAGAACAUGGUAAGAAAAAACAAUGUUUAAAGAAUACUUUAAAAACUAGAAACUUAAAACUAGCAAAGAAAAUAGUACAUAAAACAUAUUAGAAAUAAUACAAAAAUAUAUUUUCUCAGAGAAGAAAAUUGAGCCCUCAUAGUGUGUCCUUUAGGAAAUUGUUCCCCUAAAGUAUCUGAGGUUAAUGAAAUAUAUCCUCUAAUAAUAAAACGUUAUUACUCACUGGUGUAUCGGUAGCUAAAACGAUGGUAUCAGUGAACCAUUCAACAACAAUAAAGUAUACUUAUAAUACUAGUACUAGAUUUAAUAGAAGCAGAAGAAGUUCAAAAAUUCGUUGUUGAAAAUUAAGAGGAAACCCCUCUAUUAAUAGACAACAAAGAGUUGUGUGAACAAGUGUUUAUUGUGCCUUAUCAAAAAGUUGGAAAAAGUAAAAUGUCAUAACCCUUCGUCAAAGUCACAACCUUACAAAAAAAUCACAACUUUUCAUAAAAGUCACAACUGCUCAAAAAUGUCACAGCUUUUCAUAAAAAUCACAACUCUUCAUAAAAAUCAUAAUUCUUCAUAAAAGUCACAACUCUUCAUAAAUGUUGUAACUCUUCAUUUUUCAUGUACACCUUUUAAAACCCAACAACCACUAAAAUAGUUCCUUUCUAUAUAUGAAAAUGUAUAUACUUGUCUCCUUCCCUAUAUAUAGACCCCAAAUCUGUCUUCUUCUCCCAUAGGUUCAUUUGAGACUGAUUUAAGAUUUUAUAUUAGAAAAAAAAAA